rnacentral:rRNA from 1 species
GAACCCGGAAGCUAAGCCCGCCCGCGCUGAUGGUACUGCAUCCGGGAGGAUGUGGGAGAGUAAGACACCGCCGACC